AUUGAACGCUGGCGGCAGGCUUAACACAUGCAAGUCGAGCGGGGUGAUGGUGCUUGCACUAUCACUUAGCGGCGGACGGGUGAGUAAUGCUUAGGAAUCUGCCUAUUAGUGGGGGACAACAUCUCGAAAGGGAUGCUAAUACCGCAUACGUCCUACGGGAGAAAGCAGGGGAUCACUUGUGACCUUGCGCUAAUAGAUGAGCCUAAGUCGGAUUAGCUAGUUGGUGGGGUAAAGGCCUACCAAGGCGACGAUCUGUAGCGGGUCUGAGAGGAUGACCCGCCACGCUGGGACUGAGACACGGCCCAGACUCCUACGGGAGGCAGCAGUGGGGAAUAUUGGACAAUGGGGGGAACCCUGAUCCAGCCAUGCCGCGUGUGUGAAGAAGGCCUUAUGGUUGUAAAGCACUUUAAGCGAGGAGGAGGCUCUUUUGGUUAAUACCCAAGAUGAGUGGACGUUACUCGCAGAAUAAGCACCGGCUAACUCUGCGCCAGCCGCCGCGGUAAAAC
rnacentral:rRNA from 1 species